UGCCGGUGACAAACCGGAGGAAGGUGGGGAUGACGUCAAAUCAUCAUGCCCCUUAUGACCUGGGCUACACACGUGCUACAAUGGGAAGUACAACGAGUCGCUAGACCGCGAGGUCAUGCAAAUCUCUUAAAGCUUCUCUCAGUUCGGAUUGCAGGCUGCAACUCGCCUGCAUGAAGCCGGAAUCGCUAGUAAUCGCGGAUCAGCACGCCGCGGUGAAUACGUUCCCGGGCCUUGUACACACCGCCCGUCACACCACGAGAGUUUGUAACACCCGAAGUCGGUGAGGUAACCUUUUUGGAGCCAGCCGCCUAAGGUGGGAUAGAUGAUUGGGGUGAAGUCGUAACAAGGUAGCCGUAUCGGAAGGUGCGGC
rnacentral:rRNA from 1 species